rfam:Botryotinia fuckeliana T4 unplaced genomic scaffold Contig_16852_V3__V4, whole genome shotgun sequence.
GGACCGCUGGCGCAACGGUAGCGCGUUCGACUCCAGAUCGAAAGGUUAUCCGUUCAAAUCGGGUGUGGUUCA